ensembl:snoRNA
GCUGAUCGAACAUCACCGUGGCUUUGACUGUCACUGUGGUUAAGCUGGGCUGCCAGGGCCAGGUGGGACCUCAGUUCAGUGCUCACUCUCCAGACUGUGGAGGUCAAACGCAGGCCCUGACAUGC